AACGCACAUUGCGCCCGCUAGUAUUCUGGCGGGCAUGCCUGUUCGAGCGUCAUUUCAACCCUCAAGCCCUGCUUGGUGUUGGGGACCUGCGGUACGCCGCAGGCCCUGAAAAUCAGUGGCGGGCUCGCUAUAACUCCGAGCGUAGUAACUUAUCUCGUUCUGGAAGAGUGGCGGGUUCCGGCCGUUAAACCCCUUAUUUUUUAAAGGUUGACCUCGGAUCAGGUAGGAAUACCCGCUGAACUUAA
rnacentral:misc_RNA from 1 species